rnacentral:rRNA from 1 species
CAGUCGCCGCGGUAAUACGUAGGGUGCGAGCGUUAAUCGGAAUUAUUGGGCGUAAAGCGUGCGCAGGCGGUUGUGUAAGACAGGUGUGAAAUCCCCGGGCUUAACCUGGGAACUGCGCUUGUGACUGCACAGCUAGAGUAUGGCAGAGGGGGGUGGAAUUCCACGUGUAGCAGUGAAAUGCGUAGAGAUGUGGAGGAACACCGAUGGCGAAGGCAGCCCCCUGGGCCAAUACUGACGCUCAUGCACGAAAGCGUGGGGAGCAAACAGGAUUAGAUACCCGCGUAGUCCCUGUCUCUUAUAC